rnacentral:rRNA from 1 species
UACGGAGGGUGCAAGCGUUAUCCGGAUUCACUGGGUUUAAAGGGUGCGUAGGUGGGCAGGUAAGUCAGUGGUGAAAUCUCCGAGCUUAACUCGGAAACUGCCGUUGAUACUAUUUGUCUUGAAUAUUGUGGAGGUAACCGGAAUAUGUCAUGUAGCGGUGAAAUGCUUAGAUAUGACAUAGAACACCAAUUGCGAAGGCAGCUUACUACACAACGAUUGACGCUGAGGCACGAAAGCGUGGGGAUCAAACAGG